rnacentral:rRNA from 1 species
ACUGGCUAACGAACGCUGGCGGCGUACUUAACACAUGCAAGUCGAACGAGAAAGAGGGCUUCGGCCCUUGAGUAAAGUGGCGCACGGGUGCGUAACACGUAAGUAAUCUACCCUGAACUCUGGGAUAACUUCUCGAAAGGGAGGCUAAUACCGGAUAGUGUCCUCGAGGUAUAGGCUGCGGGGGGAAAGCAGGCCUCUGAUAUAAGCUUGCGAUUCAGGAUGAGCUUGCGGCCCAUUAGCUAGUUGGUGGGGUAAUGGCUUACCAAGGCAGCGAUGGGUAGCUGGUUUGAGAGGAUGAUCAGCCACACUGGCACUGAGACACGGGCCAGACUCCUACGGGAGGCAGCAGUGGGGAAUUUUGCGCAAUGGGCGAAAGCCUGACGCAGUAACGCCGCGUGGAGGAUGAAGGCCUUCGGGUCGUAAACUCCUGUCAGAGGGGAAGACGGAAGUGGAACGAAUAAUAGCUUCGGCAUUAUGACGGUACCCCCAAAGGAAGCCCCGGCUAAUUCCGUGCCAGCAGCCGCGGUAAUACGGAAGGGGCAAGCGUUGUUCGGAAUUAUUGGGCGUAAAGGGCGUGUAGGCGGUCCCAUAUGUCCGCUGUGAAAUCACACGGCUCAACCGUGUUAGGUCGGCGGAAACUGUGGGACUUGAGGCUGGGAGGGGUCGGUGGAAUUCUUCAUGUAGCGGUGAAAUGCGUAGAUAUGAGGGAGAACACUCGUGGCGAAGGCGGCCGGCUGGACCAGUUCUGACGCUGAUGCGCGAAAGCGUGGGUAGCAAACAGGAUUAGAUACCCUGGUAGUCCACGCUGUAAAAACGAUGGGCACUAGGUGUCGGCGGUUAAUCCCGUCGGUGCUGGCGCUAACGCAGUAAGUGCCCCGCCUGGGGAGUACGGUCGCAAGGCUGAAACUCAAAGAAAUUGACGGGGGCCCGCACAAGCGGUGGAGCAUGUGGUUUAAUUCGACGCAACGCGAAGAACCUUACCUGGACUUGACAUGCACUGGACUGGCAGUGAAAGCUGUCUUCUCUUCGGAGCUGGUGCACAGGUGCUGCAUGGCUGUCGUCAGCUCGUGUCGUGAGAUGUUGGGUUAAGUCCCGCAACGAGCGCAACCCUCGCCCUCUGUUGCUACCGGGUCAAGCCGGGCACUCUGAGGGGACUGCCCCGGUGAACGGGGAGGAAGGUGGGGAUGACGUCAAGUCCUCAUGGCCUUUAUGUCCAGGGCUACACACGUGCUACAAUGGUCAAGACAAAGGGUUGCUACCCUGCAAAGGGAUGCCAAUCCCAAAAACUUGGCCUCAGUUCGGAUGGUCGGCUGCAACUCGCCGGCCUGAAGCUGGAAUCGCUAGUAAUCGGAGAUCAGCACGCUCCGGUGAAUACGUUCCCGGGCCUUGUACACACCGCCCGUCACACCACGAAAGCUGCGUGUACCAGAAGUCGCUGAGCUAACCUCUUUGGGGAGGGCAGGUGCCGAAGGUGUGCGUGGUAAUGGGGGAAGUCGAG